UACGUAGGGGGCAAGCGUUGUCCGGAUUCAUUGGGCGUAAAGAGCGUGUAGGCGGCCAGGUAGGUCGGUUGUGAAAACUGGAGGCUCAACCUUCAGAGGUCGACCGAAACCAUCUGGCUAGAGUCCGGGAGAGGAGAGUGGGAUUCCUGGUGUAGCGGUGAAAUGCGCAGAUAUCAGGAAGAACACCCGUGGCGAAAGCGGCUCUCUGGAACGGUACUGACGCUGAGACGCGAAAGCGUGGGGAGCGAACAGG
rnacentral:rRNA from 1 species